AGCGAACGCUGGCGGCAGGCUUAACACAUGCAAGUCGAACGGAUCCUUCGGGAUUAGUGGCGGACGGGUGAGUAACACGUGGGAACGUGCCCUUUGGUUCGGAACAACUCAGGGAAACUUGAGCUAAUACCGGAUGUGCCCUUCGGGGGAAAGAUUUAUCGCCAUUGGAGCGGCCCGCGUAGGAUUAGCUAGUUGGUGGGGUAAAGGCCCACCAAGGCUACGAUCCUUAGCUGGUCUGAGAGGAUGAUCAGCCACAUUGGGACUGAGACACGGCCCAAACUCCUACGGGAGGCAGCAGUGGGGAAUCUUGCGCAAUGGGCGAAAGCCUGACGCAGCCAUGCCGCGUGAAUGAUGAAGGUCUUAGGAUUGUAAAAUUCUUUCACCGAGGACGAUAAUGACGGUACUCGGAGAAGAAGCCCCGGCUAACUUCGUGCCAGCCGCCGCCGUAACAC
rnacentral:rRNA from 1 species